rnacentral:tRNA from 1 species
GCCUGGGUGGCUCAGUGGUUGAGCAUCUGCCUUCCACUCAGGAUGUGAUUCCCCAGGUC